GGCCAACAGCUGCGUAAAAAAUACUUUAAAAUCAAAAAAUGAGGAAAAGGAAGCUUGUUUGCCUCACUUGAUAUCCGAUGUGACAGAGAAGAAAGAAGUCAGUGAGAAUCUUAUUCUAGAAAAAGUCCUGGACGUGGCUGAAAUACCUCCAGUCCUAAACAGUCCAAAAUUUGGGGUGAACCGAGCCACCACUGAAAGCACUUUGAAAGAGGAAGACAAAAAUUGGCUGGCACAGGAGAAAAAUGAAGACAAAGACAGCUUGGAAGAGGAGCACAAUAGUGGAUCUGCUGUGGCAGAAGAGAGCAGGCAGUUUGAGACUGAAAUUGACCCAAUAAAGCCAUGGAAUGUCCAUACUGGAGGGUCACUGAAGGAAAUAACCAAAGUGGAAGAAACAAACAUAUAUUUGCUGGAAGAAAAACAGAUACAUGUUCAGAAUUUGCAGGAAGAACUGCAACAGCGAGAGGAAGAAGAGAUCCAGGUGUUACAUCAACAGCAAGAGUCUGCCCUUUGGCUGGCACAAGAAGCUGCAUUGAACCAGCUGAAAGAGGAGCUAGAAUCCUUUCAGCAACAGGAGAGAGAAAAGCUCAAAAAGCAGAAGUGGCUUUUUCUGGAACGGAUAAAAAAAGAGGCUGAAAUGGCUGAGCAGGCUGAACUGGUGGCACUGGAGCAGGAGAACCAGAGGGCCCUGAAUGAACUGAGGGAGAAGCUGUGCAGAGAAAAGGAACUGGCUCUGCAGGAACUACAGGUGCAGCUGGCAGCAGAUAUCCAGCAACAGAAAACUGCAACAGCAGAAGAGCACCAGAAGGUUAUUCUGACCCUCCGGAUGGAAAUAAUGGAGGCUCAGAGAAGAGAGAAAGAAGAACUUCAGAAGGAGCUCGAGAGUGUGGAGCAAAA
rnacentral:lncRNA from 1 species